UAAACCAGCACCAGCUCUGAACCAACACCCGGUUCUUUCUGGUGGAAAAGGGGGCAAUUACAUACCGUGUUGUUGUGUGCAUUGUAAAAUCAAAUAGUAUACUUCACUAGAAAAAUGCUAUUAUGUUUACUUAAAUCUGACUAAAAUGUUGAGUUUACUAAAAAUAGUUAAUUAUUGGUAUAUUUGUUAAAAUAAAUAUUUGAGAUUACUAAUAAAAACUAAGUAAUAUUACUCGAAACUUUUGAGACGAAACAUUGGGCAUGCGCAAUGAAGCACAACUCCCCUCCCUUUGCUGAAGCUCAUGGACUGAAGAUGGUUUGAGCAUCCACCGAUUAAGUUAAUUAAUUAAGGCAUAUUUUUGUUUUUCUUGUUUGUUAGUUUUAAUCAUUCAACACUUCAAUUAAUAUUACUUUGUAGAACAUGUUAGGAACGUUUAAACUUGUCUUUACAUAAUCAUCUUUUGGACCGUUUGUAGCUUUGAACACCUCGUCUUGGAUACCAACAUCUAAAAUGUUAUUUUGCACUUUAGAUCUGUAAAAUCGAAUUGCCGCCAUUUUCAUCGUGGUGUGGUGUGGCGGGGGUUCGCGAGUUGUUGGAAGGAAGGAAGGAAAAAACGGGAUAUGGGAGGCAAAAAAAUCGAGAAGAA